rnacentral:rRNA from 1 species
AUUGUCGAAACCUGCAAGGCAGCACGACCCGCGGACAAGUGUAAACCACUGCGAGCGGCAAGCCUCUGCGCUGGUCGCUCGAGGCCCAAGGAGAGGGGGCCGUGGGAAACCGCAGCUCCCCUUCCGCGGGCACAAACAACGAACCCCGGCGCGAAUUGCGCCAAGGAACCGAAAGAAUGAUGUGCGCUCCCCUCGCGCCGGAAACGGUGCUGCGGGGGGGUGCGCCGUCGUCCAUGUCGUACACGAAACGACUCUCGGCAACGGAUAUCUCGGCUCUCGCAUCGAUGAAGAACGUAGCGAAAUGCGAUACUUGGUGUGAAUUGCAGAAUCCCGUGAACCAUCGAGUUUUUGAACGCAAGUUGCGCCCGAAGCCAUUAGGCCGAGGGCACGCCUGCCUGGGUGUCACGCAACGUCGCCACAAAUCCCCUCACCCCCCCCCAAGGGGAACGGGGAGGGACGGCGGAUACUGGCUUCCCGUGCGCUCCCGCUCGCGGUUGGCCCAAAACACAGCCCCCUGGCGACGGCAGCCACGGCACGCGGUGGUUGGCAGCACGAGCUCCUCGAGCACCGCCGUGCGCGAGCCUCGUCGAGGGGUGGCACGAGACCCCGACGCAAGCGUCCUCACACAGCGACCC